rnacentral:tRNA from 1 species
GAGCGAGUUAUCGGGAGAGACAACCGAUCUUCUACUUUACACGCAGGGGGUCAGAGGUUCGAGUCCUCUAUCGUCCACCA